UACGUAGGGUGCGAGCGUUGUCCGGAAUUAUUGGGCGUAAAGGGCUCGUAGGCGGUUUGUCGCGUCGGGAGUGAAAAUCCAGGGCUUAACUCUGGACUGGCUUUCGAUACGGGCAGACUAGAGGUAUGCAGGGGAGAACGGAAUUCCUGGUGUAGCGGUGAAAUGCGCAGAUAUCAGGAGGAACACCGGUGGCGAAGGCGGUUCUCUGGGCAUUACCUGACGCUGAGGAGCGAAAGUGUGGGGAGCGAGCAGG
rnacentral:rRNA from 1 species